GGCUUAACACAUGCAAGUCGAGGGGAAACGACAUCGAAAGCUUGCUUUUGAUGGGCGUCGACCGGCGCGCGGGUGAGUAACGCGUAUCCAACCUGCCCACCACUUGGGGAUAACCUUGCGAAAGUAAGACUAAUACCCAAUGACGUCUCUAGAGGACAUCUGAAAGGGAUUAAAGAUUUAUCGGUGAUGGAUGGGGAUGCGUCUGAUUAGCUUGUUGGCGGGGUAACGGCCCACCAAGGCGACGAUCAGUAGGGGUUCUGAGAGGAAGGUCCCCCACAUUGGAACUGAGACACGGUCCAAACUCCUACGGGAGGCAGCAGUGAGGAAUAUUGGUCAAUGGACGAGAGUCUGAACCAGCCAAGUAGCGUGCAGGAUGACGGCCCUAUGGGUUGUAAACUGCUUUUAUAAGGGAAUAAAGUGAGUCUCGUGAGACUUUUUGCAUGUACCUUAUGAAUAAGGACCGGCUAAUUCCGUGCCAGCAGCCGCGGUAAUACGGAAGGUCCGGGCGUUAUCCGGAUUUAUUGGGUUUAAAGGGAGCGUAGGCCGGAGAUUAAGCGUGUUGUGAAAUGUAGAUGCUCAACAUCUGCACUGCAGCGCGAACUGGCUUCCUUGAGUACGCACAAAGUGGGCGGAAUUCGUGGUGUAGCGGUGAAAUGCUUAGAUAUCACGAAGAACUCCGAUUGCGAAGGCAGCUCACUGGAGCGCAACUGACGCUGAAGCUCGAAAGUGCGGGUAUCGAACAGGAUUAGAUACCCUGGUAGUCCGCACGGUAAACGAUGGAUGCCCGCUGUUGGUCUGAAUAGGUCAGCGGCCAAGC
rnacentral:rRNA from 1 species